UUAGAACACAUUGUAAGACUUCCACCUGGAUAUAUUCAAAAUUGGACUUGAAAUGGACGCCAUUGAGAAAACCAUCGUUGGGACUUGGAGCUAUGUUGAACAAGAUGAUAUGGAGCCAUUCCUAAAUGCAAUAGAGGCUCCUGAUUUCGACAAGAA